rnacentral:rRNA from 1 species
AGAGUUUGACUCCUGGCUCGAAGGACGAACGCUGGCGGCGUGCUUAACACAUGCAAGUCGAACGAGGUUAUCGGAGAGCUUGCUCGAAGGUAACCGAGUGGCGGACGGGUGAGUAACGCGUGAACAAUCUGUCUCAUACAGGGGGAUAACGCAUCGAAAGAUGUGCUAAUACCGCGUAGGACCACAGCAUCGCAUGGUGCAGGGGUGAAAGGAGGAAUCCGGUAUGAGGUGAGUUCGCGUCUGAUUAGAUAGUUGGUGAGGUAACGGCCCACCAAGUCAACGAUCAGUAGCCGACCUGAGAGGGUGAUCGGCCACAUUGGGACUGAGACACGGCCCAGACUCCUACGGGAGGCAGCAGUGGGGAAUAUUGGGCAAUGGGCGAAAGCCUGACCCAGCAACGCCGCGUGAAGGAAGAAGGUUUUCGGAUCGUAAACUUCUGUCCUUGGUGAAGAGCAGUAGACGGUAGCCAAGGAGGAAGCCCCGGCUAACUACGUGCC